AAAUGAAUAGACGGGGGCCCGCACAAGCGGAGGAACAUGUGGUUUAAUUCGAUGAUACGCGAGGAACCUUACCUGGGCUUAAAUGUAGAGUGCAUUUCCGGGAAACCGGAAUUUUCUUCGGAACCCUUUACAAGGUGCUGCAUGGUUGUCGUCAGCUCGUGCCGUGAGGUGUCGGGUUAAGUCCCAUAACGAGCGCAACCCCUAUCGUUAGUUGCCAUCGGGUAAUGCCGGGGACUCUAGCGAAACUGCCGGUGUAAACCGCGAGGAAGGUGGGGAUGACGUCAAAUCAGCACGGCCCUUAUGUCCAGGGCUACACACGUGUUACAAUGGCCGGUACAGAGGGCAGCCACCUGGUGACAGGGAGCGAAUCUCGAAAGCCGGUCUCAGUUCGGAUCGAAGUCUGCAACUCGACUUCGUGAAGCCGGAUUCGCUAGUAAUCGCGCAUCAGCCACGGCGCGGUGAAUACGUUCCCGGGCCUUGUACACACCGCCCGU
rnacentral:rRNA from 1 species